UACAGAGGGUGCAAACGUUGCUCGGAAUUAUUGGGCGUAAAGCGCGCGUAGGCGGCUACUUAAGUCGGAUGUGAAAGCCCUUGGCUCAACUGAGGAAGUGCACCCGAAACUGAGUGGCUUGAGUACUAAAGAGGGUCGCGGAAUUCCCGGUGUAGAGGUGAAAUUCGUAGAUAUCGAGAAGAACACCGGUGGCGAAGGCGGCCAUCUGGACGGUGACUGACGCUGAGACGCGAAAGCGUGGGGAGCAAACAGG
rnacentral:rRNA from 1 species